rnacentral:rRNA from 1 species
GACGAACGCUGGCGGCGCGCCUAACACAUGCAAGUCGAACGAGCAAAGAGAAGCUUGCUUCUCUGAGCGAGUGGCGAACGGGUGAGUAACGCGUGAGGAACCUGCCUCAAAGAGGGGGACAACAGUUGGAAACGACUGCUAAUACCGCAUAAGCCCACGGGUCGGCAUCGACCAGGGGGAAAAGGAGCAAUCCGCUUUGAGAUGGCCUCGCGUCCGAUUAGCUAGUUGGUGAGGUAACGGCCCACCAAGGCGACGAUCGGUAGCCGGACUGAGAGGUUGAACGGCCACAUUGGGACUGAGACACGGCCCAGACUCCUACGGGAGGCAGCAGUGGGGAAUAUUGCACAAUGGGGGAAACCCUGAUGCAGCGACGCCGCGUGGAGGAAGAAGGUCUUCGGAUUGUAAACUCCUGUUGUUGAGGAAGAUAAUGACGGUACUCAACAAGGAAGUGACGGCUAACUACGUGCCAGCAGCCGCGGUAAAACGUAGGUCACAAGCGUUGUCCGGAAUUACUGGGUGUAAAGGGAGCGCAGGCGGGAAGACAAGUUGGAAGUGAAAUCCAUGGGCUCAACCCAUGAACUGCUUUCAAAACUGUUUUUCUUGAGUAGUGCAGAGGUAGGCGGAAUUCCCGGUGUAGCGGUGGAAUGCGUAGAUAUCGGGAGGAACACCAGUGGCGAAGGCGGCCUACUGGGCACCAACUGACGCUGAGGCUCGAAAGUGUGGGUAGCAAACAGGAUUAGAUACCCUGGUAGUCCACACCGUAAACGAUGAUUACUAGGUGUUGGAGGAUUGACCCCUUCAGUGCCGCAGUUAACACAAUAAGUAAUCCACCUGGGGAGUACGACCGCAAGGUUGAAACUCAAAGGAAUUGACGGGGGCCCGCACAAGCAGUGGAGUAUGUGGUUUAAUUCGACGCAACGCGAAGAACCUUACCAAGUCUUGACAUCCUGCGACGGAUAUAGAAAUAUAUCUUUCCUUCGGGACGCAGAGACAGGUGGUGCAUGGUUGUCGUCAGCUCGUGUCGUGAGAUGUUGGGUUAAGUCCCGCAACGAGCGCAACCCUUAUGGUCAGUUACUACGCAAGAGGACUCUGGCCAGACUGCCGUUGACAAAACGGAGGAAGGUGGGGAUGACGUCAAAUCAUCAUGCCCUUUAUGACUUGGGCUACACACGUACUACAAUGGCGUUAAACAAAGAGAAGCAAGACCGCGAGGUGGAGCAAAACUCAGAAACAACGUCCCAGUUCGGACUGCAGGCUGCAACUCGCCUGCACGAAGUCGGAAUUGCUAGUAAUCGUGGAUCAGCAUGCCACGGUGAAUACGUUCCCGGGCCU